GAUGAACGCUAGCGGCAGGCUUAACACAUGCAAGUCGAGGGGCAGCAUGAGACGGAGAUUCGUCGAAGUCUUGAUGGCGACCGGCGCAAGGGUGCGUAACGCGUGAGCAACUUGCCCGUUUCAGGGGGAUAACCGGUGGAAACGCCGACUAAUACCCCAUAGUAUUGAGUUUAGGCAUCUUUACUCAAUUAAAGAAUUUCGGAAACGGAUAGGCUCGCGUCUGAUUAGAUAGUUGGUGGGGUAACGGCCUACCAAGUCGACGAUCAGUAGCCGGACUGAGAGGUUGAUCGGCCACAUUGGGACUGAGACACGGCCCAGACUCCUACGGGAGGCAGCAGUGGGGAAUAUUGCGCAAUGGGGGCAACCCUGACGCAGCAACGCCGCGUGAAGGAUGAAGGUCUUCGGAUUGUAAACUUCUGUUCUGAGGGACGAACAAGGACGGUACCUCAGGAGGAAGCCACGGCUAACUACGUG
rnacentral:rRNA from 1 species